AGAAGAUCAGUUUGACACUUUAUGUCUAAGUGGAUGCAAUCUCUUUGGAGAAAAGCAAGCAGCACCCAAUGAAAAUGCAAAAGAGAAGGCUAGUGUGGUAUAUCUUUUAAGGCUGUUAAGGCAAACUAGUUAACUCUUUUUUUUUUUUUUUUUUUUUUUUUUUUUCCAUAAGAAAUAUCUUUGGUGUCAUGCCAGGGGUACCAAUGGAGUCCCAGAGGAAUGAAUUUCAACCCUGCAGUCUCAAGAGUUGGGCCUCCAGCUGGCUGUAUACAGAUGUACUUAAUCUAAGUGUUGUCCUUACUGGAACAAACUCCCCUUGGAGUGAUUCCCAUCUUGUCUGUAGGGAGAACCCAAUGUCCAAGAAACCAGGAGCAAACGAAUGCAAGGCUGGUUUGCCACUUGGAGAGGCCAGACAAGAGAAAAUUGUUUACAAUACUGAAGUGCAACGAAGAGUUCAAGCAGAGUGGCCUUAA
rnacentral:lncRNA from 1 species